UGUGAUUGGACACAGUUUCGUCCCCACCCUCUCCUUCUCUUCUCCUCUUCCUCUCUCCUUUAUCUUAAGGCUGUAUAUAGAAAUUCACGCUUGAUGUCCAUUGAGAAAGAAUCCUCAUGAACAUAUGAAUCAAGCUAAACCAAGAUGGAAAACUUUACAUGAAUCCUUCGUAAGGAGUUUUUUCUGGUGAUUCAAGAUUGUGUCAAGGCAGCAAUUCAAACUAACCACCAUGCUUGUUGAAGGCUGCUUGAUUCAGUGAGAGAAGUGACGCCCAGAGGACUCUUUGUUCAUGGCCACCCAGAGCUUUUCUCUGCCUCUUCGGUCUCCUGUGUCCUGAAGUGUAGUAUGCUCAAUAGAAGCACCCAGAAAGAUGAAUGACCUUGGAAGACUAUUCAGCAACGAAUCAAUUGAUUUAAUUGUUGGGUCACAACAACUGGCUCCCAGAGGAGUGCUAGAUUUGGACUCAAGUCUAAGAGGAUGCAGUCCAUCAUGGCAGAGGAGAGUCUUCAAGCAUGACUCUUCUAUUUGGUGUUAAUAUUUAUCCAGUUCUUGUGAACCACGGCCAUCCCUUUGUGCUGAAGAACACUACAGUGUCUCCUGUCUAAAUCUCCUAUAUCCCUUUACCUGGACUACUCUUCAGGUGAGGAGACCAAGGACUGAGAAGCUUUGGGGAGAAGUGAAUGACCUGGAGUUGUGCUCUGCAGAAGUAGACUUUACAUGCAUGUCCCCAGGCUGGUCCCCGCCAACAGAAAAGCAGCCGUGCAUCCGUCUAAUAAGGGAAGACACGCACAUUUGACAAUUAUCUAAUACACACUUCUCAAAUGCUCAGGAAGGCUUGAAAGUACCACAUUGUGCUUGCUCUGCUUCCCUGACCCUCUCUUCUUUUGAGGUCGAAGGCUGUGAAG